GCGAAUUCGCCCUUUUCCGGUUGAUCCUGCCGGAGGUCACUGCUAUUGGGAUUCGGCUAAGCCAUGCGAGUCGUGAGGGUUCGGCCCUCGGCAGACGGCUCAGUAACACGUAGAUAAUUUGCCCUUAGGUGGAGGAUACCCUCGGGAAACUGAGAAUAAUACUCCAUAGAUCUAGACUGCUGGAAUGCUUUUAGAUUGAAAGAUUUAUCGCCUAAGGAUAAGUCUGCGGACUAUCAGGUAGUAGUUAGGGUAAAUACCUGACUAGCCUACGACGGAUACGGGUAGUGAGAGCUUUAGCCCGGAGAUGAUAUCUGAGACACGAUAUCAGGCCUACGGGGCGCAGCAGGCGCGAAAACUUCGCACUGUGCGAAAGCACGACGAGGGAAUCCCAAGUGCUGGCUCGUAAGAGUCAGCUGUUUUUCUGUCUAAAAAACAGAGAGAGUAAGAGCUGGGUAAGACGGGUGCCAGCCGCCGCGGUAAUACCUGCAGCUCAAGUGGUGGCCGCUAUUAUUGGGCCUAAAACGUCCGUAGCCGGUUCUAUAAAUGCCUGGGUAAAUCGUACGGCUUAACCGUACGAAUUCCGGGUAGACUGUUCAACUUGGGACCGGGAGAGGCUAGAGGUACUCCUGGGGUAGAGGUGAAAUUCUGUAAUCCUAGGGGGACCACCAGUGGCGAAGGCGUCUAGCUAGAACGGGUCUGACGGUGAGGGACGAAGCCCAGGGGAGCAAACGGGAUUAGAUACCCCGGUAGUCCAGGGUGUAAACGCUGCUCGCUUGAUGUUAGUCGGGCUCCGAGCCCAACUAGUGUCGGAGAGAAGUUGUUAAGCGAGCUGCCUGGGGAGUACGGUCGCAAGACUGAAACUUAAAGGAAUUGGCGGGAAGGGCGAAUUCGU
rnacentral:rRNA from 1 species